rnacentral:rRNA from 1 species
UCCGUAGGUGAACCUGCGGAAGGAUCACUAGUGAUUAAACCGGAGAGCGUCUUCAUUGACCUCUCCAACCCUUCACAUCCACAUACACCCUGUGAACCGUUUGGCUUUGUGAGCUGAAAGUUGAAAGAAUAGGCUUGUUAAAAGUCUAGUCGGACGAUGGACAGAUCGCAAGGUCAUCAUCAUAUACAUACACGAAGUCUAAUGAAUGUAAACGUUUUAUAUAAACAAAAUAAAACUUUCAACAACGGAUCUCUUGGUUCUCGCAUCGAUGAAGAACGCAGCGAAAUGCGAUAAGUAAUGUGAAUUGCAGAAUUCAGUGAAUCAUCGAAUCUUUGAACGCACCUUGCACUCUCUGGUAUUCCGGAGAGUACGCCUGUUUGAGUGUCAUGAAACUCUCACUCCUCAUCUUUCUUUAUUGAGAGGUAGGGACGUGGAUUUGGAUCUGUUGCUGGUGAAUCUGAUUCAUCGGCUCAUCCGAAAUAUAUUAGCUGGAUCCUCUUUGUCAAUUGGUUCUACUCGACGUAAUAAGUAUUUCGUCGAGGACGGUCUUCGGAUCGGCCGAUAGAAAGAGUCUUUUAGAUCCGCUUCUAAUCCGUGCGAUUUUAUUAUCCACACUUUUUUUAUGAUCUGGCCUCAAAUCAGGUGGGACUACCCGCUGAACUUAAGCAUAUCAAUAAGCGGAGGA